rnacentral:pre_miRNA from 1 species
AACCACGCUAUCAAUGAAUGGAUUCACUCGCGAGAUGACGUGGUUGUUUCAUCUAGGACGAGGAUGUGGCAUCAUAUUACUAGCCAUGGCACGAAAUUAAUAGGAUGCCACGUCCUCAUCCUAGAUGGAACAACCACACGUUCAUUGAUAGUUCAUUGAUAGUGUGGUU